rnacentral:rRNA from 1 species
GUGAAGUUGGAAUCGCUAGUAAUCGCGGAUCAGCAUGCCGCGGUGAAUACGUUCCCGGUCUUGUACACACCGCCCGUCACACCAUGGGAGUUGGUAACGCCCGAAGUCAGUGACUCAACCGAAAGGAGAGAGCUGCCGAAGGCGGGACUGAUAACUGGGGUGAAGUCGUAACAAGGUAAC